CCCCUCUCAGGUUCGUGUCUGGAGAGUUUCCAGUACUCUCCCAGACUCGGCUACCAGAGGGAGAGUCAAGCAGAGGCAUACCCAUUCCAUUCCUAGCUUGGCCAGUGGCUAGCAAGUGGAAGACACAUGUCAAAAUU